AAUGAACGUUGGCGGCGUGGAUUAGGCAUGCAAGUCGUGCGGAAAGGCUCCUUCGGGAGUACUCGAGCGGCGAAAGGGAGAGUAACGCGUGGAUAUCUACCCCCUGGCCUGGGAUAGCGGCGGGAAACUGCCGGUAAUACCAGAUAAUGUCUGCGGACCAAAGGUGUGAUUCCGUCGGGGGAUGAGUUCGCGUCCUAUUAGCUAGUUGGUAGGGUAAUGGCCUACCAAGGCACAAAUGGGUACCGGGUGUGAGAGCAUGGCCCGGCUCACUGGGACUGAGACACUGCCCAGACACCUACGGGUGGCUGCAGUCGAGAAUCUUCGGCAAUGGGCGCAAGCCUGACCGAGCGACGCCGCGUGCGGGAUGAAGGCCUUCGGGUUGUAAACCGCUGUCAGAGGGGAGGAAAUGCGUAGGAGUUCUCUCUUACGUUUGACCUAUCCUCAGAGGAAGUACGGGCUAAGUUCGUGCCAGCAGCCGCAGUAACAC
rnacentral:rRNA from 1 species